AUCAUCUUCAUACCCAAGAAACACAAAACAUUUCUCUCUCAUAUUUCUCAAAGUCUGUCUCUCUUCACUUCGGUAUGAAGAUGACGAAUGCGAAUUCCUUUUCUUCUUCUUCUUCCUUUUAUGGAUGAUUUCUUAGAAUCUUGAUGUCAUAGUUUUGGGAAGAAAUUGUACUAAAGAUAUCCCAAAAAAGAAAAAAUCCACGGGUAAGAACCCUAAAAAUCACCAUCCUCUUUCCGGCCAUUUUACCCAAAACCACCGUCCAUCCACAAUCCCACGUUUUAAGCCUCACCCCUUCAUUUUCCAUUUCCUCUAUUCAUGUUUCGAUUCUCACCCAAAAAAACAGAGGAAAGAAUAAGGGGGAAAGAUCAGCAGAAAGGGAGGGAAGGGUUAGGGUUGAGUACCAGCGGCAGCGGAGGGUGAUGUGAACAAGGGGGCCGUUAAGUGGUUUCAUGAUCUGGGUUUAUGACUCCGGAGGGUGAUGGGGACCUCUUGUCUUCUGUUCCAAUAGAUUGGUCAUUUGCCUGAAAUGGCCAAUAACUCCCAGUCCACAAGCAUGCAGGGUGAUGCUGAAUUUGUACCCCCAGCAUUGGUGAUAAGUUGACAAUUGCUGGGCUUUGCUGCAGUUUUCUUAAUGUAAAUAGAAUAGAAUACAGUAAAAAAUGGGGGGAGCUUAUUCCAGGAAGCGAGACCAGCCAGUAAACGAGGAUAACCUGAACCGAGGGGUUUCAGGUAGAUAUACUAAAAGUGGGAGCUCAAAAUGGCUUGGAACCUCAUUUUCUAGAUCAUCUAUGGACGCUGGUCAAGGGAAAUGAAGUUGCCCAUCUCUUAUGGAUAUGUGUAUAUAUAAAAUUCGGCAAGUAUGUUUGGCGUGGUUACUCUAUUUAUAGUUCACUGUAUAAGAGGGAGAGCCAAACUGUUUUAAGUGUAUUGACAAGCAAUUUUCUUUUGUUGAAGGACAUAAACAAAGAUAGCACCUUCUCCAUGCUGCCAAGGGAUAUAAGUCAACAGAUUUUUUGACAAUUUAGUGUGUUCCCAAUGUCUAACUGAUUCUGUACUUGAAGCUUUUCGGGAUUGUGCUCUUCAGGAUCUUAAUUUGGGAGAAUACCCAGGAUUUAAUGACAAUUGGAUUGACUUCGUCUCUUCACAGGUUCAAGAUCAGUAUACAGCGGUGAUGCUUCUUACAUGGGUUCUCCCCAAGCCCCAACUGUAAAACUUAGAAGGAAAUGUACAAGUUGUGCUUGAAUAUAAGAGUUAAAGGAAUCUUUCAUGCUGGAUAUAGAGAAGUAUCAUAACUUUUUAACUUUACUGACCCAUGAAUGCAGUUUAUCCAGGUAUAUGAGGUCGGGAAUCAUUAUUAACUAACAAUUGAAUAUAAAAUCAGAUUCCGUUUUUGUCUUCCAUUUUUGUUUUAACUCUUUUAAUGAAGUUCAUGAGAUAAUUUUAUUUCAGUUAUAUUUGUACACUUGGUGAGAAGACCAUGGUGAUGUCGCGGGAAGUGCUUCUUAGUGUUGGUGUUCCAUGGUGCAGUUCAUUGGUAGGGUGAGCUAUUGGAGAAUUUAUUGUCACUCCCCAAAAGCUUAUCACUCGAGGUUCAGUCCUGGAUUUUAUUGUGGAGAUGCUGCUGAUAUUUCUACUCUUGAACGGUUGAGUUUUGCCAAACAAGCUUCAAUACGUAGUGCACUAUUAAUUGUCCUCCAAUGGUGUCUCACUUCCAGUUAUGAUAGAUUUAGCAAUUGUGUUAUGUUCUAGGUUUGUUUUCUUUUCUUCUUAUAUGUGAACCUCUUCUUGUAUCAUACAGAAAAUGAUCUCCUUUUGAGUUGAGUUACUUAAGAAGGUUCCACAUGUAAAUUAUGAAUAAAAAAGCACGAGCCACUGGCCAAAUAUCUUAGAAGCCGCAUGGAGCCCCUUAGAUUUUUAGAUCAUUUCGGUAACAAGCCUUAUGUCACUCAUUUUUGCUUUAUUUUUAGAUGCUUUUCUCUCCCAUAUUAUUUGUAUGUUGUAUGUGCUUUGAGGUAGAUACACAUCAUAUUUAUAUGCUAAUGGACAAUUUGGGCCAUUUUAUUGUAGUGGAGGCAGCUUUUCUUUUGAUGAUCAUCAUCGAUCUCCCUCGUUCUCUUUUAUCCCUACAUGUCAAUUUAUUUUGGAAUCUACAUAGAGGACGUCUCUAAGGAACAAGAAGAAUGUGAGGUUUAUAAGGUGACUCUUGUGCAAUACAAUAAUUUUAAUGAUUCAAAGGCCCUCAUGGUAUGUUCUCUUGUUUUCAUCUUCCUACGAAUUUGAAUUAUAAAAGUAUGCUCCAUGACUUCUGGCUUUAUGUGUUCUCUUUAUCCAUUUAUGCUAUCUCUUCGAAUAGAUGAAGUGCCAGAGCCCAUAUAUGUAGCAUGUAAUUUUAUUUUGUGCGACUCAAGUGUAUAAACUUGGCCGUGGAAUAUACUAAUUACAUUGCAGCAAAUAAUAGGAUCAUUCUGAUGUAAUAGUAUGUUUGCUCUUUGAACUCAAGGUUUUUGUCAACAAGUCAAUGACUUUGGAUAAGCUAAGGUAAUCUUUAUCAAUAGUCAUCGAUACCAUGAGUUUGACUGAUAAGAGUAUACUCCAUGACUUGUUGCUUCAUUUGUUCUCUUUAUGUGCAUGUUUCCAUGCUUUAAAAUAUUACAACAUUGAAAAUAUUUGUUGCUCUUAUACACCAAAAGCAUAAUCUAUUGCAUAUCCUUUAAUUUAUAAAAGUGUGUACAUGAUACAAAAAAAGAUGUGAAAAAUGAUAGAGAUUGAUUUGGCUGAUUGGAUGUAAGAAAUAUUAGAGAAUGGAUUUGGGUUUACCCGAGGCCAUCAUAAGCUUAAUUUGAAAUAGAACUAGAAAUCUAUAUCUAUAUCUAUCUACAUUUACUUCUAUGUAAAAAUUAUGAAGAGUUCAAAUAAUUUCUUACCGUUUUUAAUUUGACUAAACUAAACUUUUAAUAGUUAUAUUACGUAGUCCUUGUGAGUUGAGUUACUUAAGAAGGUUCCACAUUUAGUAAAUUAUGGAUAAAAACACACCAUGUACUGGCCAAAUAUCUUCAAUGCCGCACGAAGCCCCUAAGUCUUUUAGAUCAUUUCUGUAAAAAAUCUUAUGUCACUUGUAUUUGGUUUUAUUGUUUAGAUAUUUUUCUCUCCCACAUAAUUUGUUUGUGUAUGUGCUUCUGAGGUACACAUCAUAUUUAUAUGCCGAAGGACAAUUUAGGUCGUUUUAUUGUAGUGCAAUCAGCUUUUCUUUUGAUGAUCAUCAUUGAUCUCCCUCAAUUAUUUUGCAAUCUACAGGGAACAUUUCUAAGGAGCAAGAAGAAAGUGAGGUUUAUAAGGUAACUGUUGUGAUAAUUUUCUGUAUGCGGGUACUCUUAAUGAUUCAAAGGCCUCAUGGUAUGUUCUCUUUUUUUCAUCUUACUACGAAUUUGAAUUGUAAACUGUGUUCUCUUUAAGUAUUUAUGCUAUCUCUCCGAAGAGAUCAAGUGCCAGAGCCCAUAUAUGUAGCAUGUAAUUUUAGUUUGCGUGAUUUAAGUGUAUAAACUUGGCCAUGCACUAAUUACAAUACAACAAAUUAUAGGAUCCUUAUGAUGUAAUAUAUGUGUUUGCGCUUUGAACUCUACGUUGUUUUCAGCAAAAAAAUGA